rnacentral:tRNA from 1 species
AUAUAUCUGGCUCAGUCAGUAGAGCAUAUGACUCUUGAUCUUGGGGUCGUGAGUUCAAGACCCAUGUUGGGUG